UACAGAGGUCUCAAGCGUUGUUCGGAUUCAUUGGGCGUAAAGGGUGCGUAGGCGGCGCGGUAAGUCGGGUGUGAAAUCUUGGAGCUUAACUCCGAAACUGCAUUCGAUACUGCCGUGCUUGAGGACUGGAGAGGAGACUGGAAAUUUACGGUGUAGCGGUGAAAUGCGUAGAUAUCGUAAGGAAGACCAGUGGCGAAGGCGGGUCUCUGGACAGUUCCUGACGCUGAGG
rnacentral:rRNA from 1 species